CAGGCUGGCACCCCCCCAAAUGGGAAUCAUACUGCAAGUAUAGGCCUCAAACAAAAGAGACAAAAGGUUCCUGACCAGUAGAAAACCCUCCAGGGGGGGGGUGAACCCCCACCUUCGCAGGACGCGCGGCAGGAAACCGAGGCGUGGGUGGCUUUCUUCACUGUUUGAUAGCCUUAGGAGGUGGACGUGCUGGCCUCUGUCCGCCCUUCCGAGCGGCAACUGUCUCUCCCUUAAAAGGGACGAGAGUACAUUUGCUGAGCUUCCACGUCAAUCUGUUACGAACCGGAUAUCGUACACAUUCCACUCCAUAACAAGCCCCUUGCAGCUUCAAGCUCCAGCGGUUAGCCACGGUUAACCAGAAAAUUUAUGUAUCCGUUGUGCCUUCUUAAUUGUAAAUAGAAGUAAAUACAUUAUUGCCGGUA